UCCACAUCCCAGUGAAAAUGCCCAACAUAGCGCAAACGGAGCAGGUAUCAGGCACAAACAUUAGCCCAAAACACCAAGCUUUGCCACACCCACACGGGCCCCCAGCAGUGAUAGACAUUAAGCAAUAAGCGACAUACUAAACCUAAAGCUUGACUUAGUUAUGGUUAAUUAAGGCCGGUAAACCUCGUGCCAGCCACCGCGGUUAUACGAAGGGCCUAAAGCAGCAAAUCACGGCGUAAAUCGUGGUCAGAACUACUACCAAACAUUAAAAAUUAAACCUGAACCCAACCGUAAAACACGGGUUAAAUGAAAUCAAACAUUCUUAACAUAAGGUAAUUUGACCCACGAAAACUAAGAAACAAACUAGGAUUAGAUACCCUACUAUGCUCAGUUGUUAAUACGAUAUUACCCUACACAAAUAUCCGCCAGAAAAUUACGAGUGAAAAACUUAAAACUCAAAGGACUUGGCGGUGCUCCACACCGACUUAGAGGAGCCUGUCCUAUAAUCGAUACCCCACGCUAAACCUCACCAAUCUUUGCCCAACAGCCUAUAUACCGCCGUCGCCAACUUACCUUGUGAAAGAAAAAUAGUGAAUACAAGAGUCGAAUCACUAAAACGUCAGGUCAAGGUGUAGCUUACAGAUUGGAAGAGAUGGGCUACAUUUUUUGACAUAAAACAUACGGCAUGGAAUCAUGAAACUCUUACCUGAAGGAGGAUUUAAUAGUAAAACUAACAAGAAAGUUAGUUUUAAAUACG
rnacentral:rRNA from 1 species